GACGAACGCUGGCGGCGUGCUUAACACAUGCCAGUCGAACGGAAAGGCCCUGCGUUUGUGGGGUGCUCGAGUGGCGAACGGGGGAGUAACACGUGAGUAACCUGCCCUUGACUUUGGGAUAACUUCAGGAAACUGGGGCUAAUACCGGAUAGGAGCUCCUGCUGCAUGGUGGUGGUUGGAAAGUGUCGGCGGUUGGGGAUGGACUCGCGGCUUAUCAGCUUGUUGGUGGGGUAGUGGCUUACCAAGGCUUUGACGGGUAGCCGGCCUGGGAGGGUGACAGGCCACAUUGGGCCUGAGCUGCGGCACAGACUCCAACGGGACGCAGCAGUGCGGAAUAUUGCACAAUGGGCGGAAGCAUGAUGCAGCAACGCCGCGUGCGGGAUAGCGGCCAUCGGGUUGUAAACCGCUUUCGCCUGUGACGAAGCGUGAGUGACGGUAAUGGGUAAAGAAGCACCGGCUAACUACGUG
rnacentral:rRNA from 1 species